rnacentral:rRNA from 1 species
UACGAGGGGGGCGAGCGUUGUUCGGAAUCACUGGGCGUAAAGGGUGCGUAGGCGGGUCUUUAAGUCAGGGGUGAAAUCCUGGAGCUCAACUCCAGAACUGCCUUUGAUACUGAAGAUCUUGAGUUCGGGAGAGGUGAGUGGAACUGCGAGUGUAGAGGUGAAAUUCGUAGAUAUUGGGAAGAACACCGGUGGCGAAGGCGGCUCACUGGCUCGUAACUGACGCUCAUGCACGACAGCGUGGGGAUCAAACAGG